rnacentral:rRNA from 1 species
AUUGAACGCUGGCGGCAGGCCUAACACAUGCAAGUCGAGCGGAGCGGCGGACGGGAGAGUAAUGUAUGGGGAUCUGCCCGAUAGGGGGGGAAAACUACUGGACACGGUGGCUAAUCCCGCAUACUCUCGGAUACACCCAUAUGGGAUUGGCUUGUAGGUGGGGUAAAGGCUCACCUAGGCGACGAUCUCUAGCUGGUCUGAGAGGAUGAUCAGUCACACUGGAACUGAGACACGGUCCAGACUCCUACGGGAGGCAGCAGUGGGGAAUAUUGGACAAUGGGCGCAAGCCUGAUUCAGCCAUGCCGCGUGUGUGAAGAAGGUCUUCGGGUUGUAAAGCACUUUAAGUUGGGAGGCGUUACCAACAGAAUAAGCACCGGCUAACUUCGUGCCAGCAGCCGCGGUAAUUC